GAUGAAGAACGCAGCGAAAUGCGAUAAGUAGUGUGAAUUGCAGAAUUCAGUGAAUCAUCGAAUCUUUGAACGCACAUUGCGCCCCCUGGUAUUCCGGGGGGCAUGCCUGUCCGAGCGUCAUUGCUGCCCUCAAGCACGGCUUGUGUGUUGGGCCCCCGUCCCCGGUUCUCCCCGGGGACGGGCCCGAAAGGCAGCGGCGGCACCGCGUCCGAUCCUCGAGCGUAUGGGGCUUUGUCACCCGCUCUGUAGGCCCGGCCGGCGCCAGCCGACACCCCAACUUUAUUUUCUAAGGUUGACCUCGGAUCAGGUAGGGAUACCCGCUGAACUUAAGCAUAUCAAUAAGCGGAGGA
rnacentral:misc_RNA from 1 species